UUUAAUUGACUAAGCAAUUAAUAAACCAAUUACUAGAGAGUUAAUUCGAUUUUUCUGAUUGUUUAACAUCUAUUAUCAGUACUACCUAAAAACCUUAAGAUAACUUGAGAAAAAAUCUCCCUUUCGAGGGAAAUUGACAUACCACGUCAAUUUUCCAUAUCUACAAAUCAUUUGAUUUGGUCUAAACCCAAGACUGUUAA
rnacentral:lncRNA from 1 species